rnacentral:lncRNA from 1 species
UCUGUUCUGUGCUCUGAUCUCUCUGCCACUCUGCUGCGGCUCUUAUCAUAUCGUCCAUCUAUAUAUAUAUAGCUCUGUAUAUGUAGCUAUAUGUAUAUAUGUGUAUAUAUAUAUAUAUAUAGGGUGAUGGUAUAUAUAUAUAUAUAUCUAUAUAUAUAGGGUGAUGGUAUGUAUAAUGUAUGAAAGAGUGGGGUUUGCUCUGGCUCUGCCUCUGUUUGGAGUAUGCGUGCGUGCGUGAGGAAG